UACGGAGGGUGCGAGCGUUGUCCGGAAUCACUGGGCGUAAAGGGCGCGUAGGCGGCCUGGCAAGUCGGUGGUGAAAGCUCGGGGCUUAACUCCGAGUCGGCCAUCGAUACUGCUAUGGCUCGAGUCGACUAGAGGCAGAUGGAAUUCCAGGUGGAGUGGUGAAAUGCGUAGAGAUCUGGAAGAACACCAAAGGCGAAGGCAGCAUCCUGGGAAGUUCCUGACGCUCGGGUGCGAAAGCCAGGGGAGCGAACGGG
rnacentral:rRNA from 1 species